GCCAGGCAUGGUGGUGCAUGCCUGUAAUCCCAGCUACUCAGGAGGCUGAGGCAGGAGAAUCGCUUGAACCCAGGAGGCAGAGGUUGCAGUGAGCCGAGACUGUGCCACUGCACUCCAGCCUGGGUGACAGAGCAAGACUCUGUCUAUA
ensembl:misc_RNA Metazoa_SRP Metazoan signal recognition particle RNA